rnacentral:rRNA from 1 species
UACGUAGGGACCAAGCGUUGUUCGGAUUUACUGGGCGUAAAGGGCGCGUAGGCGGCUUGACAAGUCACUUGUGAAAUCUCCGGGCUUAACUCGGAACGGCCAAGUGAAACUGUCAUGCUAGAGUGCAGAAGGGGCAAUCGGAAUUCUUGGUGUAGCGGUGAAAUGCGUAGAUAUCGAGAGGAACACCUGCGGCGAAGGCGGGUUGCUGGGCUGACACUGACGCUGAUGCGCGAAAGCCAGGGGAGCGAACGGG